rnacentral:rRNA from 1 species
GAUGAACGCUGGCGGCGUGCCUAACACAUGCAAGUCGAGCGGAGAUAAGAGGAGUACUUGUACGAAUUUUAUCUUAGCGGCGGACGGGUGAGUAACACGUGAGUAACCUGCCUUUUACUGGGGAAUAACAUCGAGAAAUCGGUGCUAAUACCACAUAAUGUCACGAGGCUGCAUGGCCAUGUGACCAAAGGAGCAAUUCGGUAAAAGAUGGACUCGCGUCCGAUUUGGUAGUUGGUGAGGUAGCGGCCCACCAAGCCUACGAUCGGUAGCCGAACUUGGAGGUUGAUCGGCCACAUUGGGACUGCGACACGGCCCAGACUCCUACGGGAGGCAGCAGUGGGGAAUAUUGGGCAAUGGGGGAAACCCUGACCCAGCAACGCCGCGUGAAGGAUGAAGGUCUUCGGAUUGUAAACUUCUUUGAUCAGGGACGAAGAAAUGACGGUACCUGAAGAACAAGCCACGGCUAACUACGUGCCAGCAGCCGCGGUAA